GGUUAAGCGACUAAGCGUACACGGUGGAUGCCCUGGCAGUCAGAGGCGAUGAAGGGCGUGCUAAUCUGCGAUAAGCGCCGGUAAGGUGAUAUGAACCGUUAUAACCGGCGAUACCCGAAUGGGGAAACCCAGUGUGAUUCGUCACACUAUCAUUAACUGAAUCCAUAGGUUAAUGAGGCGAACCGGGGGAACUGAAACAUCUAAGUACCCCGAGGAAAAGAAAUCAACCGAGAUUCCCCCAGUAGCGGCGAGCGAACGGGGAG
rnacentral:rRNA from 1 species